GGAAUUUUGCGCAAUGGGGGAAACCCUGACGCAGCAACGCCGCGUGAGUGAUGAAGGCCUUCGGGUCGUAAAGCUCUGUCAAGUGGGAAGAACCCUGUGUAUAUUAAAAUGUACAUGGCUGACGGUACCACUG
rnacentral:rRNA from 1 species